GCUGGUGACAGGCAGGGCUAGGCGGGGCUGAGCCCAUAGCUUUCAGCCAGGAAGUAGACUCAGAGAGGAGCAGUCACAGGCCUAAAGCCACACAGCAAACUGGGAGCCCACCUGGAAAGGUCCUGAUGGGUGAGAGGGGUGUGCAGGAUCCUAAAGACCCUCUCUGACCAGAGAGCUGUCAGGAGACUCCCUGCAGGGCUCGAUGCAGCUCGCAAGGAGGCUCCCGAGGAGGUCUGCCUUCCUGGGACAGGGUCCACCUGUGCUGGGUGUGGAGGCCCCUCUACCCUGGGGUGGGAGGCACCCCACCCUUCUCCUUGCCCCUAGAGCCGGGUUCCAGAGGCUCAGUGGGCCUGACGGUUGUGGCCAGGAUAAUCGGGGCCUCUGGGCAGGACCUCCAGGGGUCACUCUUAGAGCUGCCUGGGACUGCACAUCUGGUGUAGGGGACCCAGAGGUCUCGAACUUCCUGCUGUGGCCAAGCUCAGGUGUCUGGGCCAGACAGAUCUGCCCACCCUCACUGGGUAGCACUUGCUUCUUGGCUUUGGAGUUCUCGUGUGUGUACAGGCAAGAGCAGGCCCAGGGUGUCCACAAGGUAAACGGCUGACACGGUGAAGCACUUAGCUCAGCACCUGGUACAGAGGCGGUGAGGGGUAGCCUGGUUUCCAGCCCGGUCCUGACACUUGUCUGCGUGACCUCAGGUCACUGUCUUAACCUUCCUGUGCCUCUGCAUUUCCACCUAGAGGGAUACGGAACUGUAACACAUGCCCAAGGAUCCCGAGGAUGAAAUAACUCAAUCCCUGCAGGGGGGACUGGAGUCAUUGACAUUUCAAGUGCCCCAACCCGACCUGAAGGAGAGCCACUUCCCAAACUCCAGGACAGGAAGGUGGCUCAGGCCCUUGCCAGACCCACCAGCUGCCUGCCAGACCGGCUCGGUCCUCUGCCAGGGCCCCUAGCUUUGGCCCUCCCCAUUGCCCUUCCCUCCUCACCCACCCGCAGCCCCCAUCUGCAGCGGACAGCGGAGGCCCAGGGAGGUGCCUGAGGUGGGGCCUGACCUUGGGUCCAGGGCGCCCCAGCAGCCCUCUCCCUCUUCUGCUGUGGCCGCCCAGGAGGAGGUGCCGCCCCAGCCACCCCCGCCCCCG
rnacentral:lncRNA from 1 species